CUAUAACUAGCUAGAAGCUUUAAUCGCCUUAUUUAUUAUAAUAAUAAUAAUAAAUAUGGCUUCAGCUGCAAAAGUAUACAUGGCGUGAUAUUGAUCCGGCUCAUCUAUAUCUUCAAGUUCAAUCAUCCAUAUUCAUAUCAAUUUCAGACGAGCCGAAUCAAUAUCACUCUUGUUUGCUUCAUUGCAUAUUAAUUAUAUACUUCAUUUAUAAGUUAUAGUUUGCCAUAUAUAUAUUAGAUUGAUUCUGCAGAAGUAGACAGGAGUGGUGUUGUUUCUGCUCAUCUUAUUAAAUAAUGAAUGAAUGAAUGACAUUUGCUUACUUAUAAGACGAGCCGAAUCAAUAUCACUCCAGUACACCUCACU
rnacentral:lncRNA from 1 species